rnacentral:lncRNA from 1 species
GACAUUACUCUCAGGCCAACGAGGUGGGCAGGCCUGCUGCUAGGUGACCGAGUCCUCUUUGGCGGUUUUAAUUUCCCCAGCAACUUGCUCGCCUUCUGCUGUAGCUGAAUCUGGCGCGUAAGAUUCCUGGCGGCCCAGGCCCACACCAAGGGAGAACAUGCAGAAGAGAAACCGAGUCGGUGGAUGUGGGCGAGAAGAAACCUGACAACUCACCUGUUUCCAGAAGAGUCAGUUGAGCCAAGAUGGAAGUGAGGGGUUUGUCAGGUAGAGUAAAAGGCAUCAAGGUGGUUUCACAUCGAUGGCUGGACAUUUCACAUUGAUGGAGAUGUGGGAGAUGGAAGCUGGAAGGCUCCAAGCCCAGGGAAUGUCACUGCCCAUAGCUACAGUGUUUCUUCUCAUCUCAAUGAACUAAUCAAGAUAGUGUCUCACAGGCUCAGCCAGAGACUAAUCUCACUCAGACGGCCUUCAUAGAUGUUCUCGUAGGUCUGACUACUAAGUCGUUCUAGAUGCCAUCCUCUUGACAAUUGAUACUGAUGAUCACACUGUGGGUAAAGAUCUAAGCUCAGUUUCUGAGACAUCAGAAGAAUGGGGGAGACACUACUGUGACUGACAAGCAGCCUCGGGAAAAGAGUCAGUUCAGCUGAAUGAAGACUACAGGGAUGAUAUUGCUACCUACAGAGGAAGACCUGAUGCAGUAUCAAAGGAGAUGUCAAGAUGGACAUGAGCAAGAAAAAGAAGGAACAGGAAGGGGCUGAGGAAGAGGCGUUAACUCCUCAGCCAAUCUUCAUCCCAGUGUUGGACAAAGUCUUUGUAUGAAGCUGUUUGUGGCAAAAGCAAGGGUCACGUGGUUAACGUCUACCCAAAUACUCUAUUUUCAAGCCAUGUCAUCAAGACAUCUCCAAAGUGUCAGAUUUCCCUCAUGUUCUACACAGAGCCUGGAUCUUUGAGACCCGUGGAACAGAGCCUUGGGAGAGAAGAGAAAAUGAACAGUUUAUGAAAAAGUAGAGAAAAAACCAGGGAUCCAGCUGUUCCCAGUGUACAACCCCUGGAUGCUAUGACCAGCCUCCGUCCAGAGGGCAUGGACCCCAGAUGAGGGGCUGGCUUUUUCCUGUUCUGGGGAAGGUGCCCUCCUUUAGUUCAGAGGCUGUGGGCUCUGGGGCUAGUUCUAUUCUCUGGCUUGUUUCCUGGCAUGGAAAACUGAGAGCUGUCUCCACUGCUGUCCCUGACAUCAUGGUGUUCUUUCCAUUACUCAGACAAGCACUUUGUUCUCACAUUGAAGCUUUAGCACAGCCGUGUCCUCUACCCAGAAUAUCUGGCUACUCCACCAGGAGACUUUCGUCAUUCUCUUGUUUUAUCCCCAACAAUUCAUAACUCUUGUUUUUUUUUAAAAUAAAUAACAACUUUAAUUACA